GACUUCACCGUAUGCUCGAAUUUCACUGCCUAAUAUCAUCAUUAGCCACAUUCGGUCUACGGCGAGGCGUAAGACAACUUCCUUCAAACUAUCAUUUCCUCGUCUACUGAUUUUAAUCUUUCUGCGUUUUGAGGUUCGAUUGGAAGACAUGAGGCGGGAGAAUGUGCCACCAAGAGCUGAAUUGUCUCUCACUACUCUUCGUCGGCUUGGUAUUGGCACGGGGGAUAUUCCACGACCUAUUCAAGAGCGGAGAUAGAAGGCUAGACAUGGUCGCGAUGAAGCUGGACCUUCCACUGCGGCACCUCCCUCUCCUCCGCCACAAACCAACUGGCAGCGGCUUUUUGGUCGUUUAGAUGACAUCGAUCAUUGCUUAGCCAGAAUAGAUACUCGCCUGGACCAAAUUGAAGAUCAUUUAGGCACACGCCCACCUCCCGUCGAUGAUGAUGAAGAUGACGAUGAAGAGGAUGAUUGAGGCCGCCCCUUUGGAUGUUCCUUGUUUGCUUUUUUAUUAUUCAUCUUUUAUUUGUAGGAUAUUUAACUUAAGUGUCUAUUUUGAAUAUUGGAACUUGUGGCAGUUACUUGUAGCUAGUUGCUUGUAGAUGGUUGAUCGGUCACUGGUUCGUGACUCAAGGAUAAACUGG
rnacentral:lncRNA from 1 species